rnacentral:rRNA from 1 species
UACGUAGGGUGCAAGCGUUGUCCGGAAUUACUGGGCGUAAAGCGCACGUAGGCGGCUUCUUAAGUCGGUGGUGAAAUCCUGGAGCUCAACUCCAGAACUGCCUUCGAUACUGGGAAGCUCGAGUCCGGGAGAGGUGAGUGGAACUGCGAGUGUAGAGGUGAAAUUCGUAGAUAUUCGCAAGAACACCAGUGGCGAAGGCGGCUCACUGGCCCGGUACUGACGCUGAGGUGCGAAAGCGUGGGGAGCAAACAGG